GAUGAAGAACGUAGCAAAAUGCGAUACUUGGUGUGAAUUGCAGAAUCCCGUGAACCAUCGAGUUUUUGAACGCAAGUUGCGCCCGAAACCAUCCGGUUGAGGGCACGCCUGCCUGGGUGUCACGCAUCGCGUCGUCCCCCAACAUACUCUCCCUUUCUGGGUUGUCAUGUUGAUUGGGGACGGAGACUGGCCUCCCGUGCUUCUGGUGCGGUUGGCCUAAAUAGGAGGCCCCUUCGGUGGAUACACGGCUAGUGGUGGUUGUUAAGACCCUCGUAUUGUGCUGUGUGUUGUGAGCUGUUAGGGAAACCCUCACCAAAGACCCUAUUGUAUCGUCUUGGUACGAUGCUUCGACCGCGACCCCAGGUCAGGCGGGACUACCCGCUGGGUUUAAGCAUAUCAAUAAGCGGAGGA
rnacentral:misc_RNA from 1 species